AGCCACUUGGCCAAGCUGGGACAGAGCCACAUGGAGGCAAGUGUCUUGGAGAGCGAAGCUGGCAUCUUCAGGGGAUGCCAGGCUUAAAAAGGUGGAGAAAAGGGUGGCUUGGAUCAUCCUCUUCUAGGUUGAUGGCCAUUCUGCAAUGAUGUUAUGACCCAUCCAGCCUCCUGCUAAGCCAGAUCCACUGAGACAGUUCCCAGAAAGCAGUCCGAGGUGACAUGCGUGUGGAGCAUGACCUCAGUAGUUUAUCAGUCAGGAAUGUUAAGACAUGACAGAAGGCAAAUGACCAAGACUGGAUGGGAGGAGCUUUGUGCCUUUGCUAACCCAGAGUCCUGGUCUCAACAGGGCAUAGGCUUGUAAACCAGGAGGACCAAAACCAAGUCGCCUCGAGAAGUGAAUACUCUUGGUUUUAUUGCCAUCCAACAGAUGAGAAAACUCAGGCCUGCCACAAUGAACUGCUGUGUCCUAAUCACAGGACCAGUGAAGUGAGAGCUGAGACGUCAUCCUGGGUGACUGGGGAACCAUUUAAAGCUCACCAGGGUCUUAUUUGCCUCAGGUACUGCAUACCUGGAAGCCAAAGUCAAACAUAAUGCUGCCUUCUCUUCUGCUUCCUUUGCAUGGCCCAAAGAUGAUCUCAGGGUCUCCUUAACUCUUGCAAACAGGGUAGGCACUAUAGGAUGGGUGGAAGACCAGAGGAUAAAGGUACUUAUUGUGGCUUUCAUUGCAAGUCAUUGGACUCUGUGCUGGGCUUUCUUGUGGAUUUGUCAUAUGUCAAGAGCACCACUGAACCCAUUUCACAGAAGAAACUGAGAAGGGCUACUUGUCCUGUGGUCUAAUCGCUGAAAGCUGAAACAGGGAAGUCUGAGCUAGAGGAGACAGCCCACAGACCUGCACCAGAUGCCAAUGUAUGCCACUGAAGCACUAGCACAGAACUGGAGGACCAGAGAUGGACAGUGGUUUUACAGAGAUGCCACCAUACCAUUCUCUGUACAGUGCUAGUUACUCCAAAAGAUGGCUAAUAAAAGUGUUCCUGCACGGCUCUUGUUAAGGGCCCUCUUUGGCUGGUCAAAUCCCAUGGAAGGACAGAAACCUCUGUGCAUCGGGAGAUGUGUAUCCUGGAGUCAUGCACACACCUGCCCCCUUUUUUCCUUUUACCAGCAAGCAGACCAGGCUUAAAGGGGCAAGGUAAUGAGACCACAGUCCCAACACUUGUGUAAGUGUGAACUUCAGAUAUGAGUCUAGGAUGGCUAAGUCAGGCUGUUUCCCCAUGCCUUUGGAGGCGUAGGGUGUAUCUGUAAAGGUACAGGGCCUGGGUGGGAGGGACAGAAAUCAGUAGGUUUACAUCCAGGACCCAACACACACUGGUCAUGUUACCUGAAGCAUGCUACUUAACUUGCCUUGCUUUGCUCAUCUGUAAGGUGGGGACAGUCAGCUCCAAUGUCAAAGGAUAGGUAGGUAUAGGUAGCUAAGGUGGGAAGCCCACUAAGUAGCUAAUAAAAGUUCUGUCCAUGGUAGAUGCCAUUAGCCCAGCCACCAUUAUGGUUACUACUAUUAUGAAAGGAAGGUUUGGAUGAGCUCCACCCUGUGCAACUUUGUUGGUUCCUCACCAUACCUCCAUGCAAACUGGGGAAGGCACAGCCAUGAAUCCAAUACAAACACGAGACCACAGGGCAGUGGAGUUUAAAUGUUCAUAAAUC
rnacentral:lncRNA from 1 species